rnacentral:rRNA from 1 species
GAUGAACGCUGGCGGCGUGCUUAACACAUGCAAGUCGAACGGACAGGCCCUGCUUUUGUGGGUCGCUCGUGUGGCGAACGGGUGAGUAACACGUGUGUAACCCGUCCUUGACUUUGGGAUAACUUCAGGAAACUGCGGCUCAUAUCCGAUAUGAUCUCUUGCUCCAUGUUGGGCGUUGGAAAGUUUCGGCUUUUCGGGCUGGACUCGCGGCUUAUGAGCUUGUUGGUGGGGUAGUUGCUUACCAAGGCUUUGACGGGUAGCCGACCUGAGAGGGUGAUCGGCGACAUGGGAACUGAGACAGGGACAAGAGGACUACGAUAGGGAGCAGUAGCCAACGUGAGGCAGUGGGCGAGAGUAUGACACAGUGAGGGGGAGCCAGAGACGACGACGCUCCGAGCGGGAUAACGGGCUUCGAGGGAUGAACCGCUGUGGCCGGAGACGAGGCGGGAGUGACGGUAAUGGAUAAAGAAGCAACGGCUAACUACGUG